UACGUAGGGGGCAAGCGUUGUCCGGAAUCAUUGGGCGUAAAGAGCGCGUAGGCGGUCCGGUAAGUCCGCUGUGAAAGUCCAGGGCUCAACCCUGGGAUGCCGGUGGAUACUGUCGGGCUCGAGUCCGGAAGAGGAGUGUGGAAUUCCUGGUGUAGCGGUGAAAUGCGCAGAUAUCAGGAGGAACACCAAUGGCGAAGGCAGCACUCUGGGACGUGACUGACGCUGAGACGCGAAAGCGUGGGGAGCAAACAGG
rnacentral:rRNA from 1 species